rnacentral:rRNA from 1 species
UGAGGAAUAUUGGUCAAUGGGCGAUGGCCUGAACCAGCCAAGUAGCGUGAAGGAUGACUGCCCUAUGGGUUGUAAACUUCUUUUAUAAAGGAAUAAAGUCGGGUAUGCAUACCCGUUUGCAUGUACUUUAUGAAUAAGGAUCGGCUAACUCCGUGCCAGCAGCCGCGGUAAUACGGAGGAUCCGAGCGUUAUCCGGAUUUAUUGGGUUUAAAGGGAGCGUAGAUGGAUGUUUAAGUCAGUUGUGAAAGUUUGCGGCUCAACCGUAAAAUUGCAGUUGAUACUGGAUAUCUUGAGUGCAGUUGAGGCAGGCGGAAUUCGUGGUGUAGCGGUGAAAUGCUUAGAUAUCACGAAGAACUCCGAUUGCGAAGGCAGCCUGCUAAGCUGCAACUGACAUUGAGGCUCGAAAGUGUGGGUAUCAAACAGGAUUAGAUACCCUGGUAGUCCACACGGUAAACGAUGAAUACUCGCUGUUUGCGAUAUACUGCAAGCGGCCAAGCGAAAGCGUUAAGUAUUCCACCUGGGGAGUACGCCGGCAACGGUGAAACUCAAAGGAAUUGACGGGGGCCCGCACAAGCGGAGGAACAUGUGGUUUAAUUCGAUGAUACGCGAGGAACCUUACCCGGGCUUAAAUUGCAGAUGAAUUACGGUGAAAGCCGUAAGCCGCAAGGCAUCUGUGAAGGUGCUGCAUGGUUGUCGUCAGCUCGUGCCGUGAGGUGUCGGCUUAAGUGCCAUAACGAGCGCAACCCUUGUUGUCAGUUACUAACAGGUUCCGCUGAGGACUCUGACAAGACUGCCAUCGUAAGAUGUGAGGAAGGUGGGGAUGACGUCAAAUCAGCACGGCCCUUACGUCCGGGGCUACACACGUGUUACAAUGGGGGGUACAGAGGGCCGCUACCACGCGAGUGGAUGCCAAUCCCCAAAACCUCUCUCAGUUCGGACUGGAGUCUGCAACCCGACUCCACGAAGCUGGAUUCGCUAGUAAUCGCGCAUCAGCCACGGCGCGGUGAAUACGUUCCC